AUGCGGUUGAUCGAGUACGCUCUAAAGUGCCAAGUCAAGGACCUGCUAGUCAGAGCUGUUCAAACUGAGGUCUACCCGCUGACAUUCGACGCGCCUCUCAUCUCCCAGCACCUGAAGACCAUAGAGCUUGAACGGGUUAACCUAGAAUGCUCUGCCCUGGAUUUCUCUGGCUGCCCCGCAUUAGAGGGCCUGAAGAUGACACAUUGUUGGGCUUAUGCACACAAGAUAUCAUCCGAGUCGCUCAAGUAUCUGUGCAUCACCGGUUUUUGUUCCGUCCUUGAUGAUUCCCACAUGAGGAUCUCCACCCCGGCCCUUGUCUCACUCCAACUUGAUGGCUUUCAUGGUUUGACCCCUUACCUUGAAAACAUGCCGUUUCUAGUAACAGCCUAUGUUCGCCUUGGCAAGGGAUGCUUCGAUUUCACGUUCUGUAACCUUAAUAUGGAGGGGGAUUGUGAUGUUCCUUGUUGUGGUUGCCAUACAUAUCUUGUUGAUGAGGGCGUGCUUCUCAGUGGCUUGACCCAUGCUGUGAAUUUGGAGUUGAUUGCUGAACCUGAAAAGAUUAUCUACAACUGGGAUUUAAAAUGGCACCCUAUAUUUGGCAACUUAAAAACUCUGCUUCUCAACGAGUGGUUCACGGCCAUUGACUUAGUUUGCAUUCUCCAACACUCUCCAGUUCUUGAGAUGCUCACUCUUCAGCUAGGUAACACUGAGAAACUCAUUGGAAUAACAGGAGCACAAGAAACAGUAAAAGAAUCAUUUGUGUGCGCGCACCUUAAGGUUGUGAACAUUGAAUGUGGAAAAGUUAACGAGGGAAUUCGUGAAAUUUUGAAGAUCUUGAGUACGUGUGGCGUACGUCAUAAGCAAAUCAGCGUCAAUGAUCCAUGUUCUCGCUCAGACUGUUUCAGUUUCCAGAAGUGCCCCGUGGCCGCAGCAGGUUCCACCACGGAUGGCGCCUGA
rnacentral:rRNA from 1 species